rnacentral:rRNA from 1 species
UGGCGGACGGGUGAGUAACGCGUGGGCAACCUGCCCCAUACAGGGGGAUAACAGUUAGAAAUGACUGCUAACACCGCAUAAGCGCACAGGGCCGCAUGGCUCGGUGUGAAAAACUCCGGUGGUAUGGGAUGGGCCCGCGUCUGAUUAGCCAGUUGGCGGGGUAACGGCCCACCAAAGCGACGAUCAGUAGCCGACCUGAGAGGGUGACCGGCCACAUUGGGACUGAGACACGGCCCAAACUCCUACGGAAGGCAGCAG